GUAGUUCAAAUGGAAUGAGUAAAUUCCAUGUACGUACCUCAUUAAAAACUGAGUCACACAAAAUACUUAAUCGUAACAAUUAAUAAAAUUAACAAUUAGCAAAUGUUAGACCAUAAGUUACGAGUAAGUUACGUAACAUGAGUAUAAAAAUGCUUACGAUUCUCAUAUUAAGUUUGUUAAGCGUUGUGUGCCCCAAAAUAUAUUAGGGAGACAGAAAAGAAAGAAGAAUUAAUUAUGCAUCCAUCAACGACAAUAUUUGUGAUAUAUUUUCUAAUCGCAUUCACACAUGCAGAAGAAACGGGCAGCUAUAGAGAAGAACGAUCGUUGCGAACAGAAUCUUUACAAUUGGGACUCAGAUCAUUAAUAACUAACACUUUUGGGAACCUCGAACCAAUCAUUACUUUCGUCAAAACGCAAGUAAAAGAUGUGGCGAUCGAUCUUCUUAUUCAAGUAUUUAAAUACGUGAGGAAAAUCUUGCACGAUUGCAAAGUGAGGUUUAUUAAAAAACUGGGAAAGUUUACCGUCGCCGACAUAUUCCAUUUAAUAUUUGAUGGAGUUUUUGAAUUUGUGAGUGGAGCUACACUUGAAAUUUCUGGAGAACAUCAAGAUGAUGGAAUUGCAGAGAUGUCAGAUUUCGAACCCAAAUACGUUUUACCUAAUCCCUAUUUGUUAGAGAAGUUAAUACUUUCUGGUGAUCAACGAUGAACAGUUUAAGUACCUAUAUUUAAUAUCUAAUUAAAUUAUAAAUUAUAUUAAUUAUAAUGAAUUGUAAAUAAUAAUAUUUCCAUGUAAUAAUUUAUUUGUACUUAGUAAAUAAGUAUUUAAUAAUAGUAAAGAAAAUGAUUGUACCUACCUAGUAGUUUUAAAAAUCUAUUCUAUCUACUACAUAUCUCUGAUGGAUUCCACUGUGAUUAUGAGUAAAAACGAAACUAACUUUUUAUUAGAUAUAUAUAAUUUAUACAGACAUAAAUACACCUAUAGCUUAUUAAACAGUUUAAAAAUCGAACAAAAAGUGUAAAUGAAUCGAUCGAUAAAGAGUGACUUAACAUGCAAUGUUUGUAAUUAUUAAAAUUGCUAUUAUAAAUCUACAGGCGUGCAAAACUUAUACAAAGGAGAUUUUCUGUCAAAUGAGAGCUAAUGGGGCCAGACCUUUAUAAAAUUUAUAAUAUUCAAAGUUAUAAAGCACUUGUUUUUAAUAUAUAUAGGUAUGGUAGGCAAUUAUGGAUUAUGUACCACGUUGCUUCUGGGAGGUAGCAAGUAAGAAAUAAAUGUCUAGUGCCUCAA